CAGUAGCCACGGUAAUACGGAGGGAGCUAGCGUUGUUCGGAAUUACUGGGCGUAAAGCGCACGUAGGCGGCUUUGUAAGUUAGAGGUGAUAGCCUGGAGCUCAACUCCAGAAUUGCCUUUAAGACUGCAUCGCUUGAAUCCAGGAGAGGUGAGUGGAAUUCCGAGUGUAGAGGUGAAAUUCGUAGAUAUUCGGAAGAACACCAGUGGCGAAGGCGGCUCACUGGACUGGUAUUGACGCUGAGGUGCGAAAGCGUGGGGAGCAAACAGGAUUAGAUACCCGCGUAGUCCCUGUCUCUUAUAA
rnacentral:rRNA from 1 species